UUUCUAUCAGGACCCAUAACAGUGCUGCGCCAUGGCACCAGAGCUCAGCAAGUGGAGCUGACUCUAAAAGCAGCUGAAGAUCGCUUCGUGACAACUUUGCCUUUCUUCUGAGUUUCUAAGUUUAUAAAGUGCUCCUUUAACGGCGUUUGGCAAUGGCGCUGAAACACGUUCGGGCUCUGGGAUCGGUAUUCUCAGCUAAUUAUCAAGGCACAAUAUUAAGUCAGUGUCGGAGCACGACUUGGACAACAACAAAACUCCGCAGCUCUUCAGCGGGAGGCGAAGAGGCGGGGACAGGUCAGACGGUGGUCUCGGAGCGAAGGGGGUCCGUGCUCACCGUGGCAAUAAGGCGGCCGGAGGUGCGCAACGCGGUGAACGUAGAGACGGCGAGGCGUCUGCUGGAGGAGCUGCAGGCCUUUGACGGCGACCCGGACCUGAACGUGGCCGUUCUGCACGGGGAAGGAGGGAAUUUCUGCGCCGGUUAUGAUCUGAAAACGCUGGCCAAUCAAAAGGCCCCCCUUAAAUUGGAGCAAGAUGUCACGAAGGGUCCUGGCCCAAUGGGUCCGUCCCGUCUGCAGCUGUCGAAGCCGCUGAUAGCGGCGGUGAGCGGCUUUGCUGUGGCCGGAGGGAUGGAGCUGGCUCUGCUGGCGGACCUGAGGGUGGUGGAGGAGAGCGCCGUCAUGGGAGUCUUCUGCCGCAGAUUUGGAGUUCCCCUGAUUGAUGGCGGGACGGUGCGUCUUCCUCGCCUCAUUGGUCUAUCCAGAGCGCUGGACCUGAUCCUGACCGGGCGGCCAAUCGGAGCUCAAGAGGCUCUAGCCUUCGGUCUGGCCAAUAGAGUUGUUCCUGACGGCCAAGCUUUGCAGGCAGCCGUGCAGCUAGCGGAGCAGAUCAGCUCCUUCCCUCAGCAGUGCCUGCGGACGGACCGCUCCUCAGCCUUGUACAGCUGCUACGAUGCCCAGUCCUUCACUCAGGCCAUGCAGCAUGAGUUUGACCACGGAGUUCAAGUCAUCCAGGCCGAAGCGAUCCCCGGGGCCAUCCGGUUCACUUCAGGAGCUGGAAGGGGAGGAAAACUCUCUUAGCAUUUAGCUUCAAGGAGCCUUACGAUCUUGAAUCUGUUGUUGCCUCUAACUGGUGUUGCUGCUGUUGGUUGCUCAUCUUCAACACAAAAUCCAUGCUGUGAAUCAGAACUUCGCUUCCUUUCAAACAAGUGGAAAAAUGGCUUCUGAGAGGAAUUAAAGAGACAGAGAAAUUAGUUCGAGGACAGCAGGUUCUUUGGCUGCUGGACGUUUCUGCUCUGCUUUUGAUAUUUUAGUCACUUGCAUCAUACAAACCUUUCAGUCCCGUAUUGAUGUCUUUAUAGCUUUAUGCUUUAGGUAUUUUUGUCUAACCCGGAACCAUCCAGCAGAAGGUGUUUGAGCUGGCCUGCUGCUGCUGGUGGUGGUAUGCGUGGCUUUGAUGCUGCUUCUCACUCUUCACAUGCGGAUAAGAUAGGCUCCGGCAGCAGCAGUAGCAGAGACGCGGGGAGAUACGGACACCUUUGGGCCUUAUCAUCAGGACCAUCAGGGUCUGAAGGCACCAUGAAGACAUAACACAGGGUAGGGUGACGGGAACGAUGGGAGAGAAAGACAGGAAGGGGGAAACCAGGGAUAUAAGGAAUUCUUUUUCAUCUUUACAAAUAUGCUCUGGUUCUCUCUGCUUUGUGUUGAAACCAUUAUGCUGACUUUGAUAUUUUACUUUUGAGUUUUAAAUACAGCAGUACGCGUAGAGA